rnacentral:rRNA from 1 species
ACGGGAGGCAGCAGUGGGGAAUUUUGGGCAAUGGGCGAAAGCCUGACCCAGCGACGCCGCGUGAAGGAAGAAGGUCUUCGGAUUGUAAACUUCUGUCAACAGGGACGAAACAAAUGACGGUACCUGUGGAGGAAGCCACGGCUAACUACGUGCCAGCAGCCGCGGUAAUACGUAGGGAGCAAGCGUUAUCCGGAAUUACUGGGUGUAAAGGGAGUGUAGGCGGGACUGUAAGUCAGAUGUGAAAUAUGCCGGCUCAACUGGCAGACUGCAUUUGAAACUGCGGUUCUUGAGUGAAGUAGAGGUAAGCGGAAUUCCUAGUGUAGCGGUGAAAUGCGUAGAUAUUAGGAGGAACAUCAGUGGCGAAGGCGGCUUACUGGGCUUUAACUGACGCUGAGGCUCGAAAGCGUGGGGAGCAAACAGGAUUAGAUACCCUGGUA